GACGAACGCUGGCGGCGUGCCUAAUACAUGCAAGUAGGACGCAGUUGCGAACGGGUGAGUAACGCGUAGGUAACUACCUAUUAGAGGAGGCUAACUAUUGGAAACGCUAGCUAAUACCGCAUACUCGUAAAUGUACCUGCGUUUUAUUAGCUAGUAGGUAGGGUAAUGGCCUACCUAGGCAACGAUACAUAUCCGGCCUGAGAGGGUGCUCGGCACACCUGGUACUGAGACACGGCCCAGACGCAGACGGGAGGCAGCAGAAGGGAGUCGUCGGCACUGGAGGGAACCGUGACCGGGCCACGCCGCGUGAGUGAAUAAGGUUUUCGGAUCGGAAAGCUGUGUUGUUAAGGAAGCGGUACUUAACCAGAAAGGGACGGCUAACUACGUACCAGCAGCCGCGGUAAUUC
rnacentral:rRNA from 1 species